UGAAUGUUGCAAAAAUAUGAGAUACUUGGG
rnacentral:piRNA from 1 species